GGCCAGGAAGCUCAAUAGGAAGAGCACCUGGUAUAUAUCCAGAAGGCCUGGGUUCAACCCCCAGUCUGGCCC